rnacentral:piRNA from 3 species
UCUCUCACUGAUUACUUGAUGACA